rnacentral:piRNA from 1 species
AGGAAGUCAAAGGAUGGUAGUUUUCAC